GACGAACGCUGGCGGCGUGCCUAAUACAUGCAAGUAGAACGCUGAAGAGAGGAGCUUGCUCUUCUUGGAUGAGUUGCGAACGGGUGAGUAACGCGUAGGUAACCUGCCUUGUAGCGGGGGAUAACUAUUGGAAACGAUAGCUAAUACCGCAUAACAAUGGAUGACACAUGUCAUUUAUUUGAAAGGGGCAAUUGCUCCACUACAAGAUGGACCUGCGUUGUAUUAGCUAGUAGGUGAGGUAAUGGCUCACCUAGGCGACGAUACAUAGCCGACCUGAGAGGGUGAUCGGCCACACUGGGACUGAGACACGGCCCAGACUCCUACGGGAGGCAGCAGUAGGGAAUCUUCGGCAAUGGGGGCAACCCUGACCGAGCAACGCCGCGUGAGUGAAGAAGGUUUUCGGAUCGUAAAGCUCUGUUGUAAGUCAAGAACGGGUGUGAGAGUGGAAAGUUCACACUGUGACGGUAGCUUACCAGAAAGGGACGGCUAACUACGUGCCAGCAGCCGCGGUAAUACGUAGGUCCCGAGCGUUGUCCGGAUUUAUUGGGCGUAAAGCGAGCGCAGGCGGUUUGAUAAGUCUGAAGUUAAAGGCUGUGGCUCAACCAUAGUUCGCUUUGGAAACUGUCAAACUUGAGUGCAGAAGGGGAGAGUGGAAUUCCAUGUGUAGCGGUGAAAUGCGUAGAUAUAUGGAGGAACACCGGUGGCGAAAGCGGCUCUCUGGUCUGUAACUGACGCUGAGGCUCGAAAGCGUGGGGAGCGAACAGGAUUAGAUACCCUGGUAGUCCACGCCGUAAACGAUGAGUGCUAGGUGUUGGAUCCUUUCCGGGAUUCAGUGCCGCAGCUAACGCAUUAAGCACUCCGCCUGGGGAGUACGACCGCAAGGUUGAAACUCAAAGGAAUUGACGGGGGCCCGCACAAGCGGUGGAGCAUGUGGUUUAAUUCGAAGCAACGCGAAGAACCUUACCAGGUCUUGACAUCCCGAUGCUAUUUCUAGAGAUAGAAAGUUACUUCGGUACAUCGGUGACAGGUGGUGCAUGGUUGUCGUCAGCUCGUGUCGUGAGAUGUUGGGUUAAGUCCCGCAACGAGCGCAACCCCUAUUGUUAGUUGCCAUCAUUCAGUUGGGCACUCUAGCGAGACUGCCGGUAAUAAACCGGAGGAAGGUGGGGAUGACGUCAAAUCAUCAUGCCCCUUAUGACCUGGGCUACACACGUGCUACAAUGGUUGGUACAACGAGUUGCGAGUCGGUGACGGCGAGCUAAUCUCUUAAAGCCAAUCUCAGUUCGGAUUGUAGGCUGCAACUCGCCUACAUGAAGUCGGAAUCGCUAGUAAUCGCGGAUCAGCACGCCGCGGUGAAUACGUUCCCGGGCCUUGUACACACCGCCCGUCACACCACGAGAGUUUGUAACACCCGAAGUCGGUGAGGUAACCUUUUGGAGCCAGCCGCCUAAGGUGG
rnacentral:rRNA from 1 species